AACGAACGCUGGCGGCAGGCUUAACACAUGCAAGUCGAGCGCCCCGCAAGGGGAGCGGCAGACGGGUGAGUAACGCGUGGGAAUCUACCCAUCUCUACGGAAUAACGCAUGGAAACGUGUGCUAAUACCGUAUACGUCCUUCGGGAGAAAGAUUUCUCGGAGAUGGAUGAGCCCGCGUUGGAUUAGCUAGUUGGUGGGGUAAAGGCCUACCAAGGCGACGAUCCAUAGCUGGUCUGAGAGGAUGAUCAGCCACACUGGGACUGAGACACGGCCCAGACUCCUACGGGAGGCAGCAGUGGGGAAGAUUGGACAAUGGGCGCAAGCCUGAUCCAGCCAUGCCGCGUGAGUGAUGAAGGCCCUAGGGUUGUAAAGCUCUUUCACCGGUGAAGAUAAUGGCGGUAACCGGAGAAGAAGCCCCGGCUAACUUCGUGCCAGCAGCCGCGGUAAUAC
rnacentral:rRNA from 1 species